GACGAACGCUGGCGGCGUGCUUAACACAUGCAAGUCGAACGGUAAGGCCCUUCGGGGUACACGAGUGGCGAACGGGUGAGUAACACGUGGGUGAUCUGCCCUGCACUUCGGGAUAAGCCUGGGAAACUGGGUCUAAUACCGGAUAGGACCAUGGACUUCACGGUUUGUGGUGGAAAGCUUUUGCGGUGUGGGAUGGGCCCGCGGCCUAUCAGCUUGUUGGUGGGGUAAUGGCCUACCAAGGCGACGACGGGUAGCCGGCCUGAGAGGGUGUCCGGCCACACUGGGACUGAGAUACGGCCCAGACUCCUACGGGAGGCAGCAGUGGGGAAUAUUGCACAAUGGGCGCAAGCCUGAUGCAGCGACGCCGCGUGAGGGAUGACGGCCUUCGGGUUGUAAACCUCUUUCAAUAGGGACGAAGCGCAAGUGACGGUACCUAUAGAAGAAGCACCGGCCAACUACGUGCCAGCAGCCGCGGUAAU
rnacentral:rRNA from 1 species